GACGAACGCUGGCGGCGUGCUUAACACAUGCAAGUCGAACGAAGUGGCGCACGGGUGAGUAAAGCGUAAUCCACCUGCCCUUCAGAGGGGGACAACAGUUGGAAACGACUGCUAAUACCGCAUACUGAAGGAGGGGAUUGCGUCUGAUGAGCGAGGUGGAGGGGUAACGGCCCACCAGGGCGAGGAUCAGGAGCCGGUCUGAGAGGAUGAACGGCCACAUUGGGACUGAGACACGGCCCAGACUCCUACGGGAGGCAGCAGUGGGGAAUCUGCCGCAAUGGACGAAAGUCUGACGGAGCAACGCCGCGUGAGUGAUGACGGCCUUCGGGUUGUAAAGCUCUGUUAAUCGGGACGCGGUACCGGAAUAGAAAGCCACGGCUAACUACGUGCCAGCAGCCGCGGUAAUUC
rnacentral:rRNA from 1 species